ACCGGGGUCCUAACUGGCCAACUCAACACAUCAGAUUCACAACUUUAUUGCUCUGCGUCUAUAAAAACCAAAACGAUGCUCUCUAGGGAGGGCCCAGACCAGGCUAGUCGUCCUUCUCCUAGUGGUGAGCUCUCUAGGAGGCUGGAGGUCCCAGACCAGGCUAGUCGUCCUCCUAGUGGUGAGCUCUCUAGGAGGCUGGAGGUCCCAGACCAGGCUAGUCGUCGGUCUCCUUCUCCUCCUCCUCUCCUCCCUGGUAGUGUCUGUACUCGGGCUUCAGCUCCCACGUGUUCUUGUGGGUUCCCUUCACGUUGUAGAUGCC